GAAAUUUUUUUAAAUUGUUAACUCAAAUUACUAAUCACUUAACUGUCAAUGAGUUACUAGUCAACCAGUUAUUGAAGUUGGAUGCCAGAUAGAAACACCAUUCAAACCUAAGAACAGUGUCGCAGAAUCCAGGUUCACACAAUGCCACUUGCAACAAAAAAACACCAAUGAAAAGAAAGGAAGAUUUAGAUAUUAUAUAAUUUCCAUCCAGGUCUAUUAAUGUCACUUAUUGCAAGUCUUGAGUCUACAGAGCAAUG
rnacentral:misc_RNA from 1 species